AGUGAACGCUGGCGGCAGGCCUAACACAUGCAAGUCGAGCGGCAGCACGGGGAGCAAUGCCUGGUGGCGAGCGGCGGACGGGUGAGGAAUACAUCGGAAUCUACCUCGUCGUGGGGGAUAACGUAGGGAAACUUACGCUAAUACCGCAUACGACCGAGAGGUGAAAGCGGGGGAUCGCAAGACCUCGCGCGAUGAGAUGAGCCGAUGUCGGAUUAGCUAGUUGGUGAGGUAAAGGCUCACCAAGGCGACGAUCUGUAGCGGGUCUGAGAGGAUGAUCCGCCACACUGGAACUGAGACACGGUCCAGACUCCUACGGGAGGCAGCAGUGGGGAAUUUUGGACAAUGGGCGCAAGCCUGAUCCAGCCAUUCCGCGUGAGUGAAGAAGGCCUC
rnacentral:rRNA from 1 species